rnacentral:rRNA from 1 species
GAUGAACGCUAGCGGCAGGCCUAACACAUGCAAGUCGAGGGGUAACGUGAGUGCUUGCACUUGACGACGACCGGCGCACGGGUGCGGAACGCGUAUGGAACCUACCUUUAUCAGGGAGAUAGCCCAUGGAAACGUGGAUUAAUAUCCCAUAGUAUUAUUUUAUCGCCUGAUAGAAUAAUUAAAGAAUUUCGGAUAGAGAUGGCCAUGCGUAUCAUUAGCUAGUAGGCGAGGUAACGGCUCACCUAGGCGACGAUGAUUAGGGGUCCUGAGAGGGAGAUCCCCCACACUGGUACUGAGACACGGACCAGACUCCUACGGGAGGCAGCAGUGAGGAAUAUUGGGCAAUGGAGGCAACUCUGACCCAGCCAUGCCGCGUGUAGGAAGACGGCCCUACGGGUUGUAAACUGCUUUUAUACAGGAAGAACACCACCCACGUGUGGGUGACUGACGGUACUGUAAGAAUAAGGACCGGCUAACUCCGUG